UGCGAAGGGGGCUAGCGUUGCUCGGAAUCACUGGGCGUAAAGGGUGCGUAGGCGGGUCUUUAAGUCAGGGGUGAAAUCCUGGAGCUCAACUCCAGAACUGCCUUUGAUACUGAAGAUCUUGAGUUCGGGAGAGGUGAGUGGAACUGCGAGUGUAGAGGUGAAAUUCGUAGAUAUUCGCAAGAACACCAGUGGCGAAGGCGGCUCACUGGCCCGAUACUGACGCUGGGGCACGAAAGCGUGGGGAGCAAACAGG
rnacentral:rRNA from 1 species